UUGGUAGAACCAACUUUUGGGGAAGUAGUUUUUGGGACUAUAUUUGCCUGCGCACCCACAGAGAGAGCAUGGCAUUGAAAUGUCUGUAGAGAGUUCGGUUGGUUCUCUCAUUUAUUCCUGGAAAAGGAUACUAUGAUUACAGCUUCUGAUCACUCAAAGACGCAACUGGUUAUCAACCUAUACCUACUGCCCCACACUGAUCUAUCAAGUCACAUUCAAGAAACUAUACCAUAUUAUUCCAUCACUGGUCUAUCAAACCAUCUCAAAGAAAAUAAAGAAUCAAGAAGUGAAAAGA